AGUGAACGCUGGCGGUAGGCCUAACACAUGCAAGUCGAACGGCAGCACAGUAAGAGCUUGCUCUUACGGGUGGCGAGUGGCGGACGGGUGAGGAAUACAUCGGAAUCUACUUUUUCGUGGGGGAUAACGUAGGGAAACUUACGCUAAUACCGCAUACGACCUACGGGUGAAAGCAGGGGAUCUUCGGACCUUGCGCGAUUGAAUGAGCCGAUGUCGGAUUAGCUAGUUGGCGGGGUAAAGGCCCACCAAGGCGACGAUCCGUAGCUGGUCUGAGAGGAUGGUCAGCCACACUGGAACUGAGACACGGUCCAGACUCCUACGGGAGGCAGCAGUGGGGAAUAUUGGCCAAUGGGCGCAAGCCUGAUCCAGCCAUACCGCGUGGGUGAAGAAGGCCUUCGGGUUGUAAAGCCCUUUUGUUGGGAAAGAAAAGCAGCAGGUUAAUACCCCGCUGUUCUGACGGUACCCAAAGAAUAAGCACCGGCUAACUUCGUG
rnacentral:rRNA from 1 species